UACGGGGGGGGCAAGCGUUGUUCGGAAUUACUGGGCGUAAAGGGCUCGUAGGUGGCCAACUAAGUCAUACGUGAAAUCCCUCGGCUUAACCGGGGAACUGCGCCUGAUACUGGUUGGCUUGAGUUUGGGAGAGGGACGCGGAAUUCCAGGUGUAGCGGUGAAAUGCGUAGAUAUCUGGAGGAACACCGGUGGCGAAGGCGACAUCCUGGACCAAUUCUGACGCUGAGGAGCGAAAGCCAGGGGAGCAAACGGG
rnacentral:rRNA from 1 species